GAUGAACGCUGGCGGCGUGCCUAAUACAUGCAAGUCGAGCGAACGGACGAGAAGCUUGCUUCUCUGAUGUUAGCGGCGGACGGGUGAGUAAAACGUGGAUAACCUACCUAUAAGACUGGGAUAACUUCGGGAAACCGGAGCUAAUACCGGAUGAUAUUUUGAACCGCAUGGUUCAAAAGUGAAAGACGGUCUUGCUGUCACUUAUAGAUGGAUCCGCGCUGCAUUAGCUAGUUGGUAAGGUAACGGCUUACCAAGGCAACGAUGCAUAGCCGACCUGAGAGGGUGAUCGGCCACACUGGAACUGAGACACGGCCCAGACUCCUACGGGAGGCAGCAGUAGGGAAUCUUCCGCAAUGGGCGAAAGCCUGACGGAGCAACGCCGCGUGAGUGAUGAAGGUCUUCGGAUCGUAAAACUCUGUUAUUAGGGAAGAACAUAUGUGUAAGUAACUGUGCACAUCUUGACGGUACCUAAUCAGAAAGCCACGGCUAACUACGUG
rnacentral:rRNA from 1 species